UACGAAGGUCCCGAGCGUUGUUCGGAAUCACUGGGCGUAAAGGGAGCGUAGGCGGCGCGGUAAGUCAGAUGUGAAAUCCCGGGGCUCAACCCCGGAACUGCAUCCGAUACUGCCGUGCUAGGGGAUUGGAGAGGUAGCUGGAAUUCUUGGUGUAGCAGUGAAAUGCGUGGAGAUCAAGAGGAACACUCGUGGCGAAAGCGAGCUACUGGACAAUAUCUGACGCUGAGGCUCGAAGGCCAGGGUAGCGAAAGGG
rnacentral:rRNA from 1 species